GUCAACAUGGCAUAGUGGUUUUAGUGUUGGACUAUGACUCUGGGAAUCAGGGUUCAAUUCCCUGCUCAUC